rnacentral:rRNA from 1 species
GCAGUCGCGAAAACUCCACAAUGUGCGAAAGCAUGAUGGGGGUAGUCUGAGUGAUAGGUUUUUAACUUAUCUUUUGCCAAGUUUAGCAAGCUUGGAGAAUAAGUGCUGGGUAAGACGGGUGGCAGCCGCCACGGUAAUACCCGCGGCACAAGUGGUGUUCACUAUUAUUGGGCUUAAAGCGUCCGUAGCUGGCUAAAAAAGUCUUAUGUGAAAUAUAGGUGCUCAACAUCUAUACGUGCAUAAGAUACUUUUUGGCUAGGGAGUGGGAGAGGUCAAGAGUACUUAUGGGGUAGGGGUUAAAUCCUGUAAUCCUAUAAGGACUACCUGUGGCGAAGGCGCUUGACCAGAACACAUCCGACAGUGAGUGACGAAGGCUAGGAGAACGAAUCGGAUUAGAUACCCCCGUAGUCC